rnacentral:rRNA from 3 species
CAGUGAUAAACUGGAGGAAGGUGGGGAUGACGUCAAGUCAUCAUGGCCCUUACGACCAGGGCUACACACGUGCUACAAUGGCGCAUACAAAGAGAAGCGACCUCGCGAGAGCAAGCGGACCUCAUAAAGUGCGUCGUAGUCCGGAUUGGAGUCUGCAACUCGACUCCAUGAAGUCGGAAUCGCUAGUAAUCGUGGAUCAGAAUGCCACGGUGAAUACGUUCCCGGGCCUUGUACACACCGCCCGUCACACCAUGGGAGUGGGUUGCAAAAGAA